ACCUGUGUCUCUAGUUCUGUCAGAUGGGCCUGUUUUCUUCUUCUCGAGCGUCUAGCUGAUUCUCUAUUGGAUAGCAUUCUGUCAAUGAGUUGGUACAAAAUAUUAGGAUAAUAACCACUAAAUCUCUUGGAUGCCCAAUGAAUUUGUUACCAUCGACAUGAUUUUA